AGUGAACGCUGGCGGUAGGCCUAAUACAUGCAAGUCGAACGGCCGCACAGUAAGCUCUUGCUUUUACCGGUGGCGACUGGCGGACGGGUGACGCGUACAUCAGCUUCUACUUUUUCUUGGAUGAUUUCGUAGGGACACUUCUGCUACUACCUCAUACGAUCUACGGCUUAAUUCAGUAGAUCUUCGCACCUUUCCUGUUUCUUUUAGCUGGUGUCGCAUUAGCUAGUUGGCUAGGUAACGGCCCACCAAGGCGACGAUGCGUAGCUGAUCUGAGAGGAUGAUCGGCCACACUGGAACUGAGACACGGUCCAGACUCCUACGGGAGGCAGCAGUAGGGAAUAUUGGACAAUGGGCGAAAGCCUGAUGGAGCCAUGCCGCGUGAGUGAAGAAGGUCUUCGGAUUGUAAAACCCUGUUGUUAGGAAAGAAAAGAUGUAGAAGAAAACCCGGAUGUUCUGACGGUACCUAAAGAGAAAGCAACGGCUAACUUCGUG
rnacentral:rRNA from 1 species